GGGACCUGCCCGGCCUCGUGCGCCUCUCCAUUGCGCUGCGCUUGCAGCCCAAGGAAGACCCGGUCUUCUAUGAAGGUGGGUGGGCAGCGCUUCGGCCAGAACCGCACCAUCAAGCAGCUCACCGGCUCCUCUUACAAGGUGGAGGUGAGGAUUAAGCCCAUCACACUGCAGGUCGAGAACAUUUCCAUCGGAGGGGUGCUUGUCCCACUGGAGCUGAAGUGCAAAGAACCUGAUGGAGACCGAGUGGUGUACACGGGCACAUAUGACACAGGUGUGGCCCCAACUAAGAGUGGAGAACGACAGCCCAUCCAGAUCACCAUGCCGUUCACAGACAUUGGGACCUUCGAGACGGUGUGGCAAGUCAAGUUCUACAAUUACCACAAGCAAGACCACUGCCAGUGGGGAAGCCUCUUCUCUGUCAUUGAGUAGGAAUGCAAGCCCAAUGAGACACGCAGUCUCAUGUGGGUGAACAAGGAGUCCUUCCUCUGAAGACGGCUCUUUCUCAUGCUGCUGGACAAUCUCAGAAACCUACUUUUAGAUAAACCAGCACAAGCCUUGCCCAAGGCAUGUCACACCAUGGCUGUUUCCCUUCUGGAA